rnacentral:misc_RNA from 1 species
AAGUCGUAACAAGGUUUCCGUAGGUGAACCUGCGGAAGGAUCAUUACCAAAAAUCCCAUCAUUAUCAACCAACCCUGUGAACCCGUACAAAACACGCCCUUUGGGGAGCUCCUUAAGUGGUGACAAAGGCGUCGUUUGCUGGUGGCUUUCGUGUGUGCGUGCUCGUCACGUAUCCCACAUCUGCUGGCUUCCGACGUUCUGCUCCCCAAAUGGGUUUUUUCUCUUUGUCGCCCAUUUAUCCAACCUAUUGCGAAAAGUAAACCAUGCCAAUUGUCAAUACCAACAUGCGAGGGGCAACUCUCUACUGUUGAAAUACGAAAGUUAUACAACUUUCAACGGCGGAUCUCUUGGCUCGU